UCAUCUUAAAUAUAAGGAAAAUAAAAUUAGAACGAUACAGAGAUGAUUAGUAUGGCCCCUGCGUAAAAAUAACACGUAUAAAGUGAGAAAUGGUCAAAAUUUUC